AAGCUUUCAGCGAGAUGGAUAAAAAUCAAUAUGCCAGGCACUUUGAUUUAUAGCCAAAAAUAAUAGGACUUUUAUACCCGGUGAUUGAUUUAUUUGAUGUUAAUCAUCCCGCUUAUCACCUGUAUUAAUAAUCUCCAAUGCCGGUGACGUCACCCCUGGGUGUUCGCUCUGGCGCCUAUCGAUUGGGCUCCGCGCUGGUUAUCCGCCCGGGACGCGAAGGCAAACAUGUACUUUGGGCGCUAAUCUUCCACACUGUCAUAUGCAGAUAGGCCUUAUCUGCUGCAUCUCCAACAGCAGUUAAUGGAGAAAAUAAUUGUUAUCAAGUUGCUAUGAGUACGCCACAAAUAGAGCCGUGACGGGAGCGGGACCGAACCCGGUCCGGGUGGCGCGGGGCGCUCGGUGCCGAGGGGGUGGUGGCAGAGCCGGGUGCCCCCCGGGGCUGGCAGGGUGUUUUGGUGGCGCCUUUUGGUGUGGGAUGGGGGGCACCUGGGGUUUUGGGUGGCCCAGGUUGUCCGUGGGGACCCCACGUGGGCCUGGCUGUGGCCAUGGUGUGGUGAUUUUGGGGUGUGAGCCCCGUGUGCGUCCUCACCCCGGUGCGUCGCGGCAGCCUCUGAAGUUCCCCAUGUGUGACCUUGUGCCUCCCCUCUCCUGCUGCAGAGGCAGAGUCGAAAGAUGUCCCGGAGAGUCCGAAGGAGCCCGAGAAGUCGGAUCCUGGAGAAAACCCACAGGAGCCAAACUCUUGGAAUGGGCCAGCUCUCCAUCUCUCCCACUCGUCGUUGUUUGCCUUGGAGCUGGGCCCGUGAUGAGGACUUUGGGAGCACCUGCGGCCUCGGCUCCUCUCCAGCAGGGAGAGCUGGGGGCGUGGGACUGUCCCCUCCUGUCCCGAGCCCAGCUGAAUGUCCUGGAGGCGCACAGCGAGAUGCUCUGUGAAAUGCUGCAAACCCGGCGCUGGCACGGGGAGAGCAGAGCCACGAUCAAGCACCGGGCAGCUCAACCUCGAUACUAGACACCAGAGAAUCCCCACUGGCAGCCCAGGUAGCACGAAGCUUCUUGCUGCAGGAAGGGAGGGACCCCACAGCGGCACAGCCUCAACCUCACGGCACCGGCGGCGUGUCCCCCACCCCAAAAACCACGACCCCGGGGCAGCCGCCCCCGCCUCCUCCCUGGCACGCCGCCGCCGAUAGCGAUCAGCCACCGCACCAAAGGGGCCUUAUCUAUCUCCUGCCCACAUCCCCCCCCCAACGCUGCCACGGCGCCCAGGUACGGUGCCCGCUGCCCUCUCCGUGGUGCCAGCGCUCGGGGACCCCGUGGGUGUUUUGGUACCGCUGAGCCCCAGCAUCCCGCUGCUGCCUCGUUUUUUUGGGGUUUAUUUCGCCAUCCCCAAGCUGCGACAACGAUUUUGGGUCCGUUACAAAGCAACGCUCAGCUCUGCCUCCCCCCCUGCACCCCAAAUCCCACCACGUGCAGUACCAGCUCCAGCACAGGGUGGGGGAAUUUUUAUUAUUAUUAUUUUUCGCCGCAUCGAAGUAAAACUGCAAACUUUUUUCCUCUUUCCCCCUUUCCUUUCUCUCUCCCCCCCCCUUUUCCCGUUCGCCUCCCUCUCUUGUUCGGUUGUGUUUAUCUGCGCCGUGACUCCUGUCUGAAUAAUCUCUCGCAGCCUGGAGCUUGUGUGCAAACCUCAAGGUUUAUUAUCGGGGCGAGCAGGGCACGGCGAGGAGGGGACGGCUCGUCCUGACGGACAGCCCCGCGCCCCGCCGCCGCGCUCCCCCUUCCCCUCCGCGCUGGUAUGUGUGGGUGGGAAAAAUUAUUCCAGCUAUUUCUCUUUAUCAUCCCCGGCCGGGCCGAGCGGCAGAUAGUCGGGGUUGUGGUAGAUUGCCGGGGAGAGAGGGGGGGCGCAGGGGAGAAAUUAGGGUCCUGAGGAGCCCCCCUGCCCAGCCUGUGCCUGCUGGAAGCAAAGCCAAGCCCCGUGCCGGCACCGAAGGCAGCGGGAUAUUUGGUGGCAGGGC
rnacentral:lncRNA from 1 species